GACGAACGCUGGCGGCGCGCUUAACACAUGCAAGUCGAGCGAAGCGGCGGACGGGUGAGUAACACGUGAGUAACCUGCCUUAGACAUUGGGAUAGCCUCGGGAAACCGGGAUUAAUACCAAAUGGUCUAAGAUGGACUCGCGUCCCAUUAGCUAGUUGGUGGGUAACGGCCCACCAAGGCGACGAGGGGUAGCCGGCAUGAGAGGGAGAACGGCCACAUUGGAACUGAGAACCGGUCCAAACUCGACGGGAGGGAGCAGUGGGGAAUAUUGCACAAUGGAGUGAAUUCUGAUGCAGCGACGCUGCGUGAACGAAGAAGGCUUUCGAGUCGUAAAGUUCUUUUAUAUGGGAAGCGGUACCAUAAGAAAAAGCACCGGCUAACUACGUGCCAGCAGCCGCGGUAAUUC
rnacentral:rRNA from 1 species